rnacentral:tRNA from 1 species
GAUCCGUUAGCUCAGUUGGUAGAGCACAACACUUUUAAUGUUGGGGUCUUGGGUUCGAACCCCAAACGGAUCACAA